AAAGAAAGAAAGGUUUGACACAAUUUAGCAAAAAAAACAAAAUAAAAACAUGAAUUUUAAUGUUUAUACAUAAUUCAAACAUUGCGUCAGUUUAACUGACUACACAGAACAUAUGCACAAGACUUUAAACAUGCUUUUAAAAAUAACUUGGAAAAAAAAUAAAGUACUUUGAGUGCCAGGGAGAACACAACACAUUGCUUGGCAGUAUGCGGAUGCUCGAGUACUGGCAAUCCAAAGGUUAAAAAUAUAAUAAAUAGAUUACAGACUCAAAACACAAAAUUCCAUAUUACAUCAUUAUACAUACUAAAAGAAAAUUGCAAAAAAUAUAAAGAAUAAAUAAACAGCAGUUAAUAUUUUCUGAUGCACUGUAGGCUCCUCCAUGUCCAUUUUCUAAAACUUGCGUUCCUGUAUUAUAGACCAUAUUACAAAACUGAAAUUGUGAACACUGAAAUUAUUAAACUAGUAUUUUACUAAUUACUUUAUUCAACAGAAACUGAAUAUAAAAAUUAGCAUAUGCGAAGACUCAAAAAAAAUAACCAAAAAUGAUCGUUAAACACUGGCUGGGUGAGAUUAGCAUUCACUGGCACAGGAUAAAUUCACAAGCAAGUCAAGCAUAGUGUUUGUUUGUAUGCCUAUAUGUAUAGCCUAAUACAUGAGGCAGCAGGUUUGUUUUGACAUAUCCACUAUAGUUUCAAACCAUGAUGAAGGUAUGAGUUUCCGGCCUUGUUUAUUACUCUGUAAUUGGUGGGGUUAGGCGAGACAAAGGUUAACAUUACCGCUUUAUACGUUUAAUAUAGUUCAGAUUUAUCAUGUACUUUAAAUUGUGUCCUGACUAUAUGAGCAAUACGGAUAUCCCCCUUUUACAUAUUAAAGAACAUGAAUUACCUUAAUGUUGCUGAUGUACCCCCAUUAUCUAUCAAACACGGUCGCAAUCUGCGCCUCGGGUUUACAUUUCUGACAAUGGUUUCAAACAAAAAACAGCAUGGAAAUGUAGUACCAUUAUUUUAAAAGGCAUCAGAGCAAAAUAAAAAGGGUGUCAAUGUGAGAGCGUAAGAGUACAAAAAUAAAGAAAACAUACAAUUUACAGAAAUGAGAAAUGUGAAUUAUAACCCAUAGUGUUUUUGAGGAUUCCUGAAAUGGGUUGGUGUAGCAUAGAAAGGCGUAGCAUUCUAAUACGGAACAUAUUCAUUGUUUGCAUCUUUCCCAACAUGUACACAGGAAUAAAAUAUUGUAAGCGGAGUGUAAUCAUACAUGGUACCAUUCCAACAUGUAUGCAGAUCCAUUGAGAGCAUCUCAUGUGAUAUCAGGUUUACUCCUUGCUGAGUUAUGGAAUAAAACAAUCAGUGGGAGGGUUUCAUUGGUUUCCAUAGAGAAUGCUCUAGUUUUAGAACAUUAUCUCAAAACUUUUUGCAUUCACCGAUUUGAGUGGAACAUCCUUAAGAUUGAACAUUUAACCAUAAAAACAUUUGAGCUUUUUAUAGUUUAAUUAAAUAUGUGUUACCCAAAUAAGUGAUGCUCAUAGCACUGGCGGAUUGGGGGAGGUGGCAACGGGGCAAUCAGCCUGCAGCUCCUCCGGGUCUUACUCUUGGGAGCAUGGAGCGUUGCCGCGGUUACCACGGCAAUGCUCCAAAUCUCGCGAGAGUGAACUUUAGCCCUGGAGCGUGGGCUAGAGUUCACCUAACCACCACUGGGACCACCAGGGAAUCCCCACCGGACCACCAGGGAUGGAAAAAAAUCUCCCCCUCCUCCUACCAGUAAAGGUAAGAAGGGGGGACAUAAAUGUAUUGAAUUUUAUAAAUGCUUUAUUUUUGUUUUAUCAAAAAGCCCCCCUACCCUCCUCACCACACACUGCCCCCCCACAAACACACUGCCACACAUACAGUCCCCCAUACACACACACACACUGCCACACACACACUACACCCCCCCCCCACACACCAUACAUAUCCACACAUUGCACCACACACAUAUACACUGCCCACCCAUCCACAUACUGCCCCACACACACACACAGCCCCCAAUACACACAUUGCCCCACUCACAUACACACUACACCCCCUCCCCCCCCACACACACACACACACACUGCACCCCUCACAUUACACCACUGCUCCUAUGCCCUACUACAGUCCCAUAUCCCAGCAGACCCCAGGUAAGUUGUCAAACUGUUCUUAAAUGGCUUGACUACUUACUCUGGGAGGGGGUCCCAGCACUCUUGGCACCAUAACCACUACACAGAGCUGUAGUGGUUAUUGUGCAUGGAUUAUUUCUUUAAAUAAUAUAAAAGUGCCCCUCCCGAGAUCAGUCUCUGGAUCCGCCACUGGCUCUUAGUGACCUUAGAAGGAUGAAAAGCUGGAUAUGACCCUGCAAGGAAACAAACCUAUUGUAAAACACGCAUUUAGCGCACCAAACAACUGAAUUUUCCCCAACCUACCAAAAUAGAGCCAAAGAAUUUUGGGAGGGGGUUAAUUAUUGCCACUGCAAGAAUCCGCCCUGGAUUCGAUCAUAUAAUGAAGAGCUAGGUAUCCCUUCAUCAGUGCUGUAUGCACACAUGGCACGUGGUACAGCAGAGGGUAUUUUUAUUUACAUGGCAUGUCCAAAAAACACCUGGGCAGCUAUGCAUGCCACACAAAUUAAAACAAAACUAUUGAGAAUUUUAGAAAUGUAAAAUUUUGCUAGCUAUAAGGCUGUGUAAAAAUAUAGGUUGACAGAAUAAGAAAAAAAUUUUACAGGAAAAAACAGAACUUAAAAUAUAUGAAAUAUGGAGCGCGCACUAUGAUAAUGUUAUUCAUCCAUUAAGGGAAACCAUACAAGAUUACCAGUGUUCUUUAGAUAGAUAGAUAUAUAUAUACACACACACAUAUAUAUAUA